UACGUAGGUGGCGAGCGUUAUCCGGAAUGAUUGGGCGUAAAGGGUGCGCAGGCGGCCUGUUAAGUCAGCGGUAAAAGCCCGGGGCUCAACCCCGGCGAGCCGUUGAAACUGGCGGGCUGGAGUUGGAGAGAAGUAUGCGGAAUGCGUGGUGUAGCGGUGAAAUGCAUAGAUAUCACGCAGAACUCCGAUUGCGAAGGCAGCAUACCGGCGCUCAACUGACGCUCAUGCACGAAAGCGUGGGUAUCGAACAGG
rnacentral:rRNA from 1 species